UACGUAGGGUGCGAGCGUUGUCCGGAUUUAUUGGGCGUAAAGAGCUCGUAGGCGGCUUGUCGCGUCGGAUGUGAAAGCCCGGGGCUUAACUCCGGGUCUGCAUUCGAUACGGGCAGGCUAGAGUGUGGUAGGGGAGAUCGGAAUUCCUGGUGUAGCGGUGAAAAUGCGCAGAUAUCAGGAGGAACACCAGCGGCGAAGGCGGCGCUCUGGGCCGGAACUGACGCUGAGGAGCGAAAGCGUGGGUAGCAAACAGG
rnacentral:rRNA from 1 species